rnacentral:rRNA from 1 species
GGCAGCAGCUAAGAAUAUUCCGCAAUGGUCGAAAGACUAACGGAGCGACGCCGCGUGAAUGAUGAAGGCCGUGAGGUUGUAAAGUUCUUUUCUGGAGGGAGAAUAAGUGCAUCAGGGAAUGGGUGCAUGAUGACGUGAAUCCAGGAAUAAGCCCCGGCUAACUACGUGCCAGCAGCCGCGGUAACACGUAGGGGGCAAGCGUUGUUCGGAAUUAUUGGGCGUAAAGGGCGCGCAGGCGGCCUGGCAAGUCUGCUGUUAAAUGGUUGAGCUUAACUCAAUCAUGCGGUGGAAACUACAAGGCUAGAAUCAACGAGGGGAUGCCGGAAUUCCAGGUGUAGGGGUGAAAUCUGUAGAUAUCUGGAAGAACACCAAUGGCGAAGGCAGGCAUCUGGCGACUGAUUGACGCUGAGGCGCGAAGGUGCGGGGAGCAAACAGGUUUAGAUAUCCUGGUAGUCCGCACAGUAAACGAUGUGCACCAGGUGGCGGGUAGCAGUACUCGGUACCGAAGCAAACGCAUUAAGUGCACCGCCUGGGGAGUAUGCUCGCAAGGGUGAAACUCAAAGGAAUUGACGG